rnacentral:rRNA from 1 species
AUGGUCUGGACUUCUGUCCGCUUAGCCAGGCGGGGUUGGCGAAACAGUGGCCCGUGCGUGCUCUGUAAGCGUCAUCUGGAGUCGGUUGAGCAUCUGUUCUUCCAGUGUAGAUACACGUUGAGGGUGUGGGCUCUCGUGAAGGAUUGGCUUCAUCUGUUCGACAUUGAUACUUCGAACUGGGGAGCAUUCAGAAGCAUCAAAGAUUGGUGGUGUGAGACGGCGUCCAUCCACAGUGCGCACAGGAGGGCGAUGCCAUCCUUGAUCAUGCUCGUUAGUAAAUCUAUCUGGGACGAGAGGAACGCGCGGGUUUUCCGCGGCCGCUCGCCCCUACGUUCAUCCUUCUUCAAACGAUCAAACAAGAGGCUAGGCAUUGGGCCUUAG